rnacentral:rRNA from 1 species
UACGGAGGAGGCAAGCGUUAUCCGGAUUUAUUGGGCGUAAAGCGUCCGCAGGCGGUUGGUCAAGUCUGCUGUCAAAGCGCGAGGCUUAACCUCGUAUGGGCAGUGGAAACUGAUGAACUUGAGGGUGAUAGGGGCAGAGGGAAUUCCUAGUGUAGCUGUGAAAUGCGUAGAGAUUAGGAAGAACACCGGUGGCGAAAGCGCUCUGCUGGGUCGCACCUGACGCUGAGGGACGAAAGCUAGGGGAGCGAAAGGG